UUAUUUAGGACAAUUGUCCUUUCUUGGAUUCAUCUAUAGUCUUGGCUAAUUUGCAGGCCCCUAAAACACUAGAUCCAAAUUGGGAAAGAAAAGGGAUUUUCCAUUCAGUGCUUCGAAGUGAAUAAAUGGAUAGGACCAUUGAUCAGAAACUUGAAUGCGAAUCACUCUGGGCGCGGCGCACACCCUGACUCCCUGGAACAGCUACUUGAUGACCCUAAUUUAUGUCAAGUUGACCAAAAACUACUCAGCAUAGAUGAAGCCCAAGUGCCACUGCCUUGUUAGUUGAAGUCUGCAGAGAAUUACAACCUUCAGAAGAUGUUGAGCAGAUCCAGGAGAAGCUGAAGCUGCCAGGCAUCAUGUGGUACUCUGAAAGUAAUGGGCCCCCAUAAGCUCAUAGGGAGUAGCACUAUUAGGAGGUGUGGCUUUAUAGAGAUAGGUGUGGCAUUGAUAGAGGAAGUGCCAGCCUUUGUGGUUUCUCAUGCUCAAGACUGUUUAGGUAGAAGCCCUACAACUGUUCAUAUAUACCCAAAAAGUUGGUUGGAAUGUUGGGGAACUCCUGCUAGGGGCCCCAUCCCAUGUUCUGGUCUCACUCCUCCCAUUCCAAACACCAUCCCUGAGAAAACCCACCAAAAGUCAGCCCCUCCCUGGGGAUGCUCAAGACCAUGCCUACAGACUAUACAAGACCUAGUAGGCAAAUUUGUCAUAUGAUUCCUUCCCUGCUUUCCUAAGGGUCACCUAGGAGUUGCUUUGCUCUGCUCAGAUUUAACCUGGACUUACAAA